rnacentral:rRNA from 1 species
GUAGCAAUACCGGCGUAAUGCUCAGUAACACGUAGUUAAUCUGCCAUAAGGUUGAGGAUAUCCUCGGAAACCUGAGAGUAAUACUCGAUAGGGAAUAUGAUCUGGAAUGAUAUAUUCUUCAAACGUAAGGCCUUAUGAUGAGACUGCGGUGGAUUAGGUAGUUGGUAGGGUAACGGCCUACCAAGCCUACGAUCCAUACGGGCCUUGGAAGAGGUAACCCGGAGAGGGACACUGAGAUACUGGUCCCAGCCCUACGGGGUGCAGCAGGCGCGAAAACUUUACAAUGUGCGAAAGCGUGAUAGGGGAACUCAAAGUGCUUACAGUUUACUGUAGGCUUUUGCCAAGUCAAAAUCGCUUGGCGAAUAAGUGGUGGGCAAGACUGGUGCCAGCCGCCGCGGUAACCCCAGCGCCACUAGUGGGAACCAGUAUUAUUGGGCCUAAAGCGUCCGUAGCAGGUCUUCUAAAUUGCUUGUGAAAUCGCAUAGCUUAACUAUGCGGAUUGCAGGUAGGACUGGAAGACUUGAGACCGGGAGAAGUCGAAGGUACUCAGAGGGGAGCGGUAAAAUGCGAGAAUCCUCUGAAGACCACCUGUUGCGAAGGCGUUCGACAAUAACGGGUCUGACUGUGAGGGACGAAAGCUAGGGGAGCGAACCGGAUUAGAUACCCGAGUAGUCCUAGCCCUAAACGCUGCGAGCUAGGUGUUGCAUAAUCUUCGGGAUUAUGCAGUAUCGUAGUGAAGACGUUAAGCUCGCCGCCUGGGAAGUACGGCCGCAAGACUGAAACUUAAAGGAAUUGGCGGGGGAGCACUACAAGGGGUGCGGCGUGCGGUUUAAUCGAAUUCAACGCCGAGAAUCUCACCAGAGGCGACGGCAGUAUGAAAGACAGUCUGAAGGGCUUUCUUGACGAGCCGAGAGUAGUGCAUGGCCAUCGUCAGCUCGUAUCGUGAGAUGUCCUGUUAAGUCAGGUAACGAGCAAGACCUGCACCUAUAAUUGCUAACGGCUAAUAUUUAGGACCGAGCACAUUAUAGGGACUGCCCUGGAAACAGGGAGGAGGGUGCAGGCAACGGUAGGUCUGUAUGCUCCGAAUCUUCUGGGCUACACGCGCGCAACAAUGGUUGGGACAAUGGGAUACAACUCCGAAAGGAGAAGUUAAACCUCUAAACCCAAUCUUAGUCUGGAUUGAGGGUUGUAACUCACCCUCAUGACACCGGAAUCCCUAGUAAUCGGUCUUCAUCAUGGACCAGUGAAUGUGUCCCUGCUCUUUGCACACACCGCCCGUCAAACCAACCGAGCAUACCAUAAGUGAGUCUCAGUCUAUCUUGAUUAAGGCAAACUUAAGAUAAGUGAGGUGGGUUAAGUCGUCACAAGGUA